GAUGAACGCUGGCGGCGUGCCUAACACAUGCAAGUCGAACGAAGUUAUUGCUGAUGAGGCUUCGGCGGAUGACGUAAUAACUUAGUGGCGGACGGGUGAGUAACGCGUGGGUAACCUGCCUUACACAGGGGGAUAACAGUUAGAAAUGACUGCUAAUACCGCAUAAGCGCACAGCUUCGCAUGAAGCAGUGUGAAAAACUCCGGUGGUGUAAGAUGGACCCGCGUCUGAUUAGCUAGUUGGUGAGGUAACGGCCCACCAAGGCGACGAUCAGUAGCCGACCUGAGAGGGUGACCGGCACAUUGGGACUGAGACACGGCCCAGACUCCUACGGGAGGCAGCAGUGAGGAAUAUUGGGCAAUGGGGGAAACCCUGACCCAGCAACGCCGCGUGAAGGAAGAAGCU
rnacentral:rRNA from 1 species